rnacentral:rRNA from 1 species
UCCGUAGGUGGAUAAUUAAGUCAGAGGUGAAAUCCUGCAGCUCAACUGUAGAAUUGCCCUUGAUACUGGUUAUCUUGAGUCAUUAUGAAGUGGUUAGAAUGUGUAGUGUAGCGGUGAAAUGCAUAGAUAUUACACAGAAUACCGAUUGCGAAGGCAGAUCACUAAUAAUGUACUGACACUGAUGGACGAAAGCGUGGGGAGCGAACAGGAUUAGAUACCCUGGUAGUCC